GCCUCGGUAGCUCAGUGGUAGAGCGUGGGAUUGCAGCUCCAUAGGGACAUGCAACUAACAUCCUAAGGUCUCGCGUUCAAAUCGCGGUCUAGGCU